CUUUCCUCCGCUCUUUUUCUUCACCGUCUUCUACUGACAUCUAGCUGCUACCUGCCAUCAUAACUCAACCACCGUCGUCCCUCUACGAUUGUUUACAGCCACGAAACACAUCGAAGCUGGCAAGGCACUAUGUUCGCCACAACUCUCCCAGAAUGUCCUCCUUCCAACAUUUUAUUUGAGGUUGCCCAUCUCAGUUGUCCACUAUGAUUUACACAGCAAUUGACAUAUUCUACAUAACUGAUGAGCAACUAAAGAACUCACCUUCCAGGAAAGAUGGUAUAAAUGAAGCAACUGAAACAACCCUUAGAAUUUAUGGUUGCGAUCUCAUCCAAAAAAGCAACAUUUUACUGAGACUUUAUGUUGUUAUAUUGUUCUUAUUAUUUUUUUAAUAGAAAUGCAAUUGGUACAUACAAUUCUUAUAUCUCUUAUUUUUUAUUUGUUUGUUUACCUUAAUCUUAUCAUGUUAGACCUCAAGCAGUAAUGGCCACUGGCCAAGUUUUGUUCCAUCGCUACUGCAAGAAGUAAUUUGUCCGUUUCAAUGUAAAGAGAGUUGCUUCCAGUUAUGUUUGGCUAGCAUCAAAAUUGGAGGAAAACCCUCGAAAAGCAAGGCAAAUCCUCAUUGUUUUCCACAUAAUGGAAUACAGGAAGGAGUACUUACCUGUUGUGCACUUGGACCCAUUUUCUAAGAAAUAUGCUGAAUUGAAGACUAAUUUGAGCAGAACUGAAAGACACAUUUUGAAAGAGAUGGGUUUUAUUUGUCAUGUGGAGCAUUCUCAUAAAUUCACAUCAAACUAAAUUGCCACCCUAAAAACUCCUCCAGAAUUGAGGCAAGAAGCUUGGAAUCUUGCAAAUGAUAGGAAAUUUUGCAUAGCGGCCCAUCAGCUAAUAAUGGUACUGUCACUCCCAAAGAAGCUUCCAAGUUGAUUAAUUCAGAAUCAGGCGAGUCCAAGAAUUCAAUGGUAAAACGUGCCCUUGACAUCUUGGAGGAAUCCAAAAAGGGUGAUGAUGAUCCCAAGAGAAGAGUCCAUACUAUCCAAGUCUGAGCAUAGAACAGAGGCAAGUGGGGAAAGGAACAAUGAGAGAGACAAGGAUAGGGAAAGAGAGAGAAAUGGACAUGGAAAGUGAACCUUGAUAGAGAAAGGGAUUCGAAUAAAGAACAGGAACGAGAUGAGAUUGAUGAGGACUGAGAGAAAGUGAAGGAUAGAAAACAUCGGUCUAUGAUUCUGGUGUGUUUACCUGGUUACGUAAAGAGAUAGCAUUCCUUGGCUCUCUGAUUCUGGUGUGUUUAUGCAAUAAGUUUUCAGAAUGGCUCGUCUUGCUUGUCCUACUUUUUACAUUUAAAUGUAAAGGAUUGAGAUGGGAAGUAAAUAAUUAAGCCUUUUAUUAUUUUUGUUGAGCAUGGGA